GACGAACGCUGGCGGCGUGCUUAACACAUGCAAGUCGAACGGAAAGGCCCUGCUUUUGUGGGGUGCUCGAGUGGCGAACGGGUGAGUAACACGUGAGUAACCUGCCCUUGACUUUGGGAUAACUUCAGGAAACUGGGGCUAAUACCGGAUAGGAGCUCCUGCUGCAUGGUGGGGGUUGGAAAGUUCCGGCGGUUGGGGAUGGACUCGCGGCUUAUCAGCUUGUUGGUGGGGUAGUGGCUUACCAAGGCUUUGACGGGUAGCCGGCCUGAGAGGGUGACCGGCCACAUUGGGACUGAGAUACGGCCCAGACUCCUACGGGAGGCAGCAGUGGGGAAUAUUGCACAAUGGGCGGAAGCCUGAUGCAGCAACGCCGCGUGCGGGAUGACGGCCUUCGGGUUGUAAACCGCUUUCGCCUGUGACGAAGCGUGAGUGACGGUAAUGGGUAAAGAAGCACCGGCUAACUACG
rnacentral:rRNA from 1 species